rnacentral:tRNA from 1 species
GAUGAUGUGGCUCAGUUGGUAGAGCAUGGCGCUUGCAACGCUAGGGUUGUGGCGUGGGUUCCAUUUCUACAUUG